rnacentral:tRNA from 1 species
AAGAGUUUAAGUUAAUUAAACUAUUAGUCUUCAAAGCUGAAAAUAUUUGUAUAUCCAUUUAAUUCUUA